rnacentral:rRNA from 1 species
AGCAGCCGCGGUAAUUCCAGCUCCAAUAGCGUAUAUUAAAGUUGUUGCAGUUAAAAAGCUCGUAGUUGAAUUUCGGGAUCAAUUUGCUGGUCGUGCCUCUGGUACGUACUGGUAUUAUUGGUUUCUCCCUUCUGACGAACCAUGAUGUCAUUAAUUUGAUGUCGUGGAGAAUCAGGACUGUUACUUUGAAAAAAUUAGAGUGUUUAAAGCAGGCAUUAGCUUGAAUACAUUAGCAUGGAAUAAUGAAAUAGGACGUUUGAUCCUAUUUUGUUGGUUUCUAGGAUUGACGUAAUGAUUAAUAGGGAUAGUUGGGGGCAUUAGUAUUCAAUUGUCAGAGGUGAAAUUCUUGGAUUUAUUGAAGACUAACUACUGCGAAAGCAUUUGCCAAGGAUGUUUUCAUUAAUCAAGAACGAAAGUUAGGGGAUCGAAGACGAUCAGAUACCGUCGUAGUCUUAACCAUAAACUAUGCCGACUAGGGAUCGGAUGAUGUUAAUUUUUAAUGACUCU